CAUUAAUACACUGAUCUGACCUAGUAAACAUGGUAAAAUGCCUGUUUCUGAUUUUAAUUCUGACUCCAGGUGUGAUGACUGCAGACCAGAUUAGGCCAAAUAAAGAAACUAGUGUCAUGAAGGAAGAUGAGACUGUGACCCUCAGCUGCUCAUACGAUACAAGCAGCAGAUAUGUUAGACUUUACUGGUACAGACAGUAUCCUAAAGGAGAACCUCAGUAUUUAAUGUGGAAAGAGGCUCGGGAUUGGAGUAGCACUGGGAAGCCAGCUGAUCCUCGCUUUCAGUCGACUACAUCACACACAUCCACUGAACUCACCAUUACUAGUGUAACUCUGUCAGAUUCAGCUCUCUAUUACUGUGCUCUAAGAGUUGGAGCCCAGUGA